CUUCUACUUUUUAUCUUUUUCUCCUCUCCCCUCAACCCACUGAAAAUGGGAAAAAUAUGUUUGUUCGAUCUCAUCAUUUGAUGCAUGCGUUGAUUUCAAAUACAAACAUUCAUGUCUCAAAUUGAUGAAAAAAGGGAGGGAUCUUUUUGUUUGUUUUACCAUCUUUCCGUUUUUUAUUCCUAAAAAUCCUAAGGAAGAACAUUAGAAAAUUCAUUCAUGAAAGUGAGGUAAUUAUGUUUGAAUUUGAUCUAAAUUUGGUUCUUCGAGCUAUUAGCGUGGGGGAAUUAAAGAUUUCAGAUUCUGAACAACCAACUGAACUUAGUGUCUUCUCAUUAAUUAUAUAUUGGAUGAAGCUGAAGUUUUAGUAUGUGAUUUUAUACUUUGGUGGUAACCUGCUGUAAAAUUUUCAAGUGAACCUGAUCAGUGCAAGUCCCCUAAAGAGUAAGAUAUCCUGAGCUGAAUUCUGUAUGAUGAUUCUGUAAACAGUCAGCUUGUUUUGUGUUUAUCUCCUUAUUGAACCGUUACAUUGCUCUGAAAUUUUAGUAUAUUAUGGUAUCCGGAGUGGUAAUGACACUGUUAAGUUUUUGAGACGAUCACGUAGCGUUUACCACUGAAAAGUCUAGAUAUACAGUAGUUGAACUUUGUAAAGU